GCCAGGUAGUCCAGUGGUUAGCACGUCGGCUUCACAGUGCAGAGGUACCGGGUUCGAUUCCAGCUCCGGCCUCCCUGUGUGGAGUUUGCAUGUUCUCCCCGGGCCUGCGUGGGUUUUCUCCGGGUGCUCCGGUUUCCUCCCACAUUCCAAAAAACAUGCGUGGCAGGCUGAUUGAACACUCUAAAUUGUCCCUAGGUGUGAGUGUGAGCGUGGAUGGUUGUUCGUCUCUGUGUGCCCUGUGAUUGGCUGGCAACCGAUUCAGGGUGUCCCCCGCCUGCUGCCCGAAGACAGCUGGGAUAGGCUCCAGCACCCCCCGCGACCCUAGUGAGGAUCGAGCGGCUCGGAAGAUGAAUGA